rnacentral:rRNA from 1 species
AUUGAACGCUGGCGGCAGGCCUAACACAUGCAAGUCGAGCGGAUGAAGGGAGCUUGCUCCUGUCUUCAGCGGCGGACGGGUGAGUAAUGCCUAGGAAUCUGCCUUGUAGUGGGGGAUAACGUCCGUACACGGGCGCUAAUACCGCAUCCGUCCUGAUGGUGAACGUGGGGGAUCUUCGGACCUCACGCUAUUUGCUGUGCCUAGGUCGGAUUAGCUAGUUGGUUGGGUAAAGGCUUACCAAGGCGACGAUCCGUAACUGGUCUGAGAGGAUGAUCAGCCACACUGGAACUGAGACACGGUCCAGACUCCUACGGGAGGCAGCAGUAGGGAAUAUUGGACAAUGGGCGAAAGCCUGAUCCAGCCAUGCCGCGUGUGUGAAGAAGGUCUUCGGAUUGUAAAGCACUGUAAGUUGGGAGGAAGGGCAGUAAGUUAAUACCUUGAUGUUUUGACGGUACCAACAGAAAAAGCACCGGCUAACUUCGUG